rnacentral:rRNA from 1 species
UCAAGAUGAGUGCUCUCCUA